CCUACGGGUGGCAGCAGUGAGGAAUAUUGGUCAAUGGGCGGAAGCCUGAACCAGCCAAGUAGCGUGCGGGAUGAAGGCCCUACGGGUCGUAAACCGCUUUUGCACGGGGAUAACACCCUCCACUUGUGGAGGUCUGCAGGUACCGUGCGAAUAAGGGCCGGCUAAUUCCGUGCCAGCAGCCGCGGUAAUACGGAAGGCCCGAGCGUUAUCCGGAUUCAUUGGGCUUAAAGGGUGCGCAGGCGGAUUUUUAAGUCAGCGGUCAAAUCGUGGGGCUCAACCCCAUCCAGCCGUUGAAACUGGGGAUCUAGAGUGUGCGAGAGGUAUGCGGAAUGCGUGGUGGAGCGGUGAAAUGCAUAGAUAUCACGCAGAACCCCGAUUGCGAAGGCAGCAUACCGGUGCACAACUGACGCUCAGGCACGAAAGCGUGGGUAUCGAACAGGAUUAGAUACCCGAGUAGUC
rnacentral:rRNA from 1 species